GAGUUUGAUCCUGGCUCAGAUUGAACGCUGGCGGCAUGCCUUACACAUGCAAGUCGAACGGCAGCACGGGAGCUUGCUCCUGGUGGCGAGUGGCGAACGGGUGAGUAAUGCAUCGGAACGUAUCCUGGAGUGGGGGAUAACGUAGCGAAAGUUACGCUAAUACCGCAUAUUCUGUGAGCAGGAAAGCGGGGGACCUUCGGGCCUCGCGCUCUUGGAGCGGCCGAUGUCGGAUUAGCUAGUUGGUGAGGUAAAGGCUCACCAAGGCGACGAUCCGUAGCAGGUCUGAGAGGAUGAUCUGCACACUGGAACUGAGACACGGUCCAGACUCCUACGGGAGGCAGCAGUGGGAAUUUUGGACAAUGGGGCAACCCUGAUCCAGCCAUG
rnacentral:rRNA from 1 species